UACGUAGGGGGCAAGCGUUGUCCGGAUUCAUUGGGCGUAAAGAGCGUGUAGGCGGCCAGGUAGGUCGGUUGCGAAAACUGGAGGCUCAACCUUCAGAGGUCGACCGAAACCAUCUGGCUAGAGUCCGGGAGAGGAGAGUGGAAUUCCUGGUGUAGCGGUGAAAUGCGCAGAUAUCAGGAAGAACACCCGUGGCGAAAGCGGCUCUCUGGAACGGUACUGACGCUGAGACGCGAAAGCGUGGGGAGCGAACAGG
rnacentral:rRNA from 1 species